AUUGAACGCUGGCGGCAGGCCUAACACAUGCAAGUCGAGCGGAUGAAGGGAGCUUGCUCCUGGAUUCAGCGGCGGACGGGUGAGUAAUGCCUAGGAAUCUGCCUGGUAGUGGGGGCUAACGUCCGGAAACGGGCGCUAAUACCGCAUACGUCCUGAGGGAGAAAGUGGGGGAUCUUCGGACCUCACGCUAUCAGAUGAGCCUAGGUCGGAUUAGCUAGUUGGUGAGGUAAAGGCCUACCAAGGCGACGAUCCGUAACUGGUCUGAGAGGAUGAUCAGUCACACUGGAACUGAGACACGGUCCAGACUCCUACGGGAGGCAGCAGUGGGGAAUAUUGGACAAUGGGCGAAAGCCUGAUCCAGCCAUGCCGCGUGUGUGAAGAAGGUCUUCGGAUUGUAAAGCUCUGUAAGUUGGGAGGAAGGGCAGUAAGUUAAUACCUUGCUGUUUUGACGUUACCAACAGAAUAAGCACCGGCUAACUUCGUG
rnacentral:rRNA from 1 species